rnacentral:rRNA from 1 species
AGAAUCAACGCUGGCGGCGUGCCUAACACAUGCAAGUCGAACGAGAAAGGGGAGCAAUCCCUGAGUAAAGUGGCGCACGGGUGAGUAACACGUGACUAACCUACCCUGGAGUGGGGGAUAACUGAGGGAAACCUUAGCUAAUACCGCAUAAUACCCACGGGUCAAAGGAGCAAUUCGCUCCAGGAGGGGGUCGCGGCCGACUAGUUAGUUGGCGGGGUAAUGGCCCACCAAGACGAUGAUCGGUAU